rnacentral:lncRNA from 1 species
UGCAAGGUUUAGUACAGGGAGUGUUUGUGCAUGUGUUUUUGUGUUGGCACUGCAGUCUAUCAUUGCUCUAAUGUACCUCUGGGGGAAUGUGAUACAAUAGUUAAUGCCAGCUAGGCUGGUAAAUAAUAGCUCUUUCAGGAAGGAAGUAAAGAAUAAUUUAUAUAUAGGAAAACAAAUGCUUGCUCUAUUUCAAUGGAAAAGUCAUUACAGUAACAGUCCUUACUAUCUUAUGUACUGCCAGGUGUUACUGGCACAGGGGAAAUCUGCA